rnacentral:rRNA from 1 species
CAAGUCGAACGAUGAAGCCCAGCUUGCUGGGUGGAUUAGUGGCGAACGGGUGAGUAACACGUGAGUAACCUGCCCUUGACUCUGGGAUAAGCGCUGGAAACGGCGUCUAAUACCGGAUACGACCUGCCCCGGCAUCGGGUGUGGGUGGAAAGUUUUUCGGUCAAGGAUGGACUCGCGGCCUAUCAGCUUGUUGGUGAGGUAAUGGCUCACCAAGGCGACGACGGGUAGCCGGCCUGAGAGGGUGACCGGCCACACUGGGACUGAGACACGGCCCAGACUCCUACGGGAGGCAGCAGUGGGGAAUAUUGCACAAUGGGCGAAAGCCUGAUGCAGCAACGCCGCGUGGGGGAUGACGGCCUUCGGGUUGUAAACCUCUUUUAGUAGGGAAGAAGGACUUCGGUUUGACGGUACCUGCAGAAAAAGCACCGGCUAACUACGUGCCAGCAGCCGCGGUAAUACGUAGGGUGCAAGCGUUGUCCGGAAUUAUUGGGCGUAAAGAGCUCGUAGGCGGUUUGUCGCGUCUGCUGUGAAAACCCGAGGCUCAACCUCGGGCCUGCAGUGGGUACGGGCAGACUAGAGUGCGGUAGGGGAGAAUGGAAUUCCUGGUGUAGCGGUGGAAUGCGCAGAUAUCAGGAGGAACACCGAUGGCGAAGGCAGUUCUCUGGGCCGUUACUGACGCUGAGGAGCGAAAGCAUGGGGAGCGAACAGGAUUAGAUACCCUGGUAGUCCAUGCCGUAAACGUUGGGAACUAGAUGUGGGGACCUUUCCACGGUCUCCGUGUCGCAGCUAACGCAUUAAGUUCCCCGCCUGGGGAGUACGGCCGCAAGGCUAAAACUCAAAGGAAUUGACGGGGGCCCGCACAAGCGGCGGAGCAUGCGGAUUAAUUCGAUGCAACGCGAAGAACCUUACCAAGGCUUGACAUGUACCGGAAACUUCCAGAAAUGGUUGCCCCGCAAGGUCGGUAUACA